rnacentral:rRNA from 1 species
GACGUAGGGGGCCAGCGUUGUUCGGAAUUACUGGGUGUAAAGGGUUCGUAGGCGGUGUGGCAAGUCGGGAGUGAAAUCUCUGGGCUCAACUCAGAGACUGCUUCCGAAACUGCUGUGCUGGAGUGUGGGAGAGGCGCGUGGAAUUGCAGGUGUAGCGGUGAAAUGCGUAGAUAUCAGGAGGAACACCCGUGGCUAAGGCGGCUCUCUAGUACGGUACUGACGCUGAGACGCGAAAGCGUGGGGAGCGAACAGG